rnacentral:misc_RNA from 1 species
AGGAACUCUGAAAGACAACAAUGAUUUUACAGCAAGACUAUUUAAGGGAAAGCUGUUUCUAGGGGAAUUGCCUCUCCACAUGGCAUAUUCUGUAAGCUGUCCCUCCUUGUUUCAUGUCUUCUACUCUUUUUUUUCUUUGUUUUAUUUUUUGGUUGAUUAGGCUUCAACUGGUGUUCAAAAUUGAAACCUCACAGCCCGGGGUCACUAAGUUAAAGCUCAUUACUAGUUUUCUACUCCUUUUCUUAAAACCAGUAAUUCAAUUCCGGUAACAUAUAAAAGCCCGAACUGCAAUGCAGGUUAAAUCAGAUGCAGGUUCUAUGCUUGGCCUAUCUCU